ACGCAUGUGGCAGCUCCUCCGGGGCUGCGCUGCACCGUUCCCCUCUCUGUGGGGAGCGUGUGUGCUUGAGAUACAUGCUAUAGUAAAGCACAUGGAGUUAACAGGGCCACCGGUCUCCCAGCACAGGCUGUGUGGUAGUAUAAUACUCCAACACUG
ensembl:snoRNA